GAGCAGCUUUUCUUAUGCAAAGGGAACUUCAAUGGUUUGAGGUGCUGGAAGAUAAGAGUCCUCCUUUGAUAAAAAGUCUAAAAUUUGAGGUAAAAGAAGAUAAGAGCAGUCCUUCUAAAAGUCUGGAAUUGAAAGAAACAAAAGAAAGGAGCGGGAAGACAUACUGGGGAGUUUUUG